rnacentral:rRNA from 1 species
CAGCCGCCGCGGUAAUACGUAGGUGGCGAGCGUUGUCCGGAAUCAUUGGGCGUAGAGGGAGCGCAGGCGGGCAUGUAAGUCUUUCUUAAAAGUUCGGGGCUCAACCCCGUGAUGGGAGAGAAACUACAUGUCUUGAGUACAGGAGAGGAAAGCGGAAUUCCCAGUGUAGCGGUGAAAUGCGUAGAUAUUGGGAGGAACACCAGUGGCGAAGGCGGCUUUCUGGACUGCAACUGACGCUGAGGCUCGAGAGCCAGGGGAGCGAACGGGAUUAGAUACCCGAGUAGUCCCUGUCUCUUAUACC